CAGAGUAGGAAGUAAAGCGUUAAGUAUCAGAUGAACGGGGAGUUGACAUCUGGGCGAAAAGUUCUCUUGCGGUUUUACUUUCGCAUCCCGCUGU
rnacentral:ncRNA from 1 species